ensembl:snRNA U1 U1 spliceosomal RNA
AUACUUACCUGGCAGGGGAGAUGCCAUGACCAUGAAGGUGGUUUUCCCAGGGCAGGGCUCAUCCCUUGUACUUGGGACGAUGAGAGGUUACUUAAAAGGUGCACUGCACAUUAUUUGGAUGAUGGAUACUCCAAAAUCCCC